rnacentral:tRNA from 1 species
GCGAGCGUAGUUCAACGGUAGAACAGUACUCCUAUGAUACUUUCAGACGUAGGUUCGACUCCUGCCGCUCGCU